UGAGAUUUUGAUUUAGAAUUUAUUUAGAUCUAGUUUUGUAUUAGAAUUAAUGUAAGAAUAUAAUUUUGAACAAUAGGUUCUGAAGAUUCCUCUAAAGGUUAAUCGAUCUAUUCAUUCAGUGGUCUGUGAAACGUAAGUAAUGAAUCAUCUUCUCAAGAUAUUUCAUAUUUAUUUUGAAAGUAAAUAAUUAUUCUUAGAAUUAUGCAUGAUUUAUGA
rnacentral:lncRNA from 1 species